GAUGAAGAACGCAGCGAAAUGCGAUAAGUAAUGUGAAUUGCAGAAUUCAGUGAAUCAUCGAAUCUUUGAACGCAUCUUGCGCUCCUUGGUAUUCCGAGGAGCAUGCCUGUUUGAGUGUCAUUUAACUUCUCAACCACAUUGGAUAUUUUUUUUCCGAUGCCGGCUUGGAUGUGGGGGUUGUUUGCAGGCUUUUUGUAACAAAAAAGGUCGGCUCCCCUGAAAUGUAUUAGUGGUAUCUGAGGCUAUUACUAUUAGGUGUGAUAAUUAUCUAUGCCUUUUGGGUAUGCCGCAUGAACAGAUUAUGCUGCUUCUAACGAAAACUAUUUUGAUGAAUUUGACCUCAAAUCAGGUAGGACUUCCCGCUGAACUUAAGCAUAUCAAUAAGCGGAGGA
rnacentral:misc_RNA from 1 species